rnacentral:lncRNA from 1 species
GGGGCAGCAACCCAACAACCAGUUGUCUGAUUCAUCUGAAAAUUUCAGGGCAGAUACAUCUUGACCUGAUAAACACUUUUACUCCGUCAGAUUUGCUCUAAAUGCUUUGGUUUUUGAGUUAUAAGCCAAAAACUGCAUUUUACCCCUAUGUUCUAUUUUUAGCCAUGGCGGCCAUCUUGGUUGGUUGGCCAGGUCACGCCACACAUUUUUUAAACUAAAUACCACAAAGAUGAUUGUGGCCAAGUUUGGAUUAAUUCGGCCAAGUAGUUUCAGAGGAGAAGAUUUUUGUAAAAGAUUACUAAGAUUUACGAAAAAUGGUUAAAAAUUGACUAUAAAGGUCAAUAACUCCUAAAGGGAUCAACUGACCAUUUUGG